UGACUGACUGAGGUUACCUUGUUACGACUUCACCCCAAUCAUCGCCCCCACCUUCGACGGUCGGUUCCUUUCGGCCCUUAGCCGGCUUCGGGGUGUGAAUGACUUUCGUGGUGUGACGGGCGGUGUGUACAAGGCCCGGGAACGUAUUCACCGCAGUAUGCUGACCUGCGAUUACUAGCGAUUCCGACUUCAUGCAGGCGAGUUUCAGCCUGCAAUCCGAACUGAGAGAUGCUUUUAGGGUUCCGCUCUGCCUCGCGACUUCGCUUCCCUCUGUUCAUCCCAUUGUAGUACGUGUGUAGCCCAAGACGUAAGGGGCAUGAUGACUUGACGUCAUCCCCGCCUUCCUCCGCGUUGUCCGCGGCAGUCUACUAUGAGUUCCCACCUUUACGUGCUGGGCAACAUAGU
rnacentral:rRNA from 1 species